rnacentral:rRNA from 1 species
GAUGAACGCUGGCGGCGUGCCUAAUACAUGCAAGUCGAGCGAACAGACGAGGAGCUUGCUCCUCUGACGUUAGCGGCUGACGUGUGAGUAACACGUGGAUAACCUACCUAUAAUACUGGUAUAUCUUCGGGAAACCGUAUCUAAUACCGGAUAAUAUAUUGAACCGCAUGGUUCAAUAGUGAAAUACGGUUUUUCUGUCACUUAUAGAUGUAUCCGCGCCGCAUUAGCUAGUUGGUAAGGUAACGGCUUACCAAGGCAACGAUGCGUAGCCGACCUGAGAGGGUGAUCGGCAACACUGGAACGGAGACACGGACAAGAAUCCUACGGGAGGCAGCAGUAGGGAAUCUUCCGCAAUGGGCGAAAGCAUGACGGAGCAACGCCGCGUGAGUGAUGAAGGUAUUCGGAUCGUAAAACUCUGUUAUUAGGGAAGAAAAAAUGUGUAAGUAAAUAUGCACGUAUUGACGGUACCUAAUCAGAAAGCAACGGCUAACUACGUG